rnacentral:rRNA from 1 species
AUAACAAUACAGGACUCUUUUGAAGCCCUGUAAUUGGAAUGAGUACACUUUAAAUCCUUUAACAAUGAUCUAUUGGAGGGCAAGUUUGGUGCAGAGCGACUGACCCCUGCGUGCUGCAGCUGAAACUCCAC